UACGGAGGAUCCGAGCGUUAUCCGGAUUUAUUGGGUUUAAAGGGAGCGUAGGCGGGUUGUUAAGUCAGUUGUGAAAGUUUGCGGCUCAACCGUAAAAUUGCAGUUGAUACUGGCAUCCUUGAGUACAGUAGAGGUAGGCGGAAUUCGUGGUGUAGCGGUGAAAUGCUUAGAUAUCACGAAGAACUCCGAUUGCGAAGGCAGCCUGCUGGGCUGUAACUGACGCUGAUGCUCGAAAGUGUGGGUAUCAAACAGG
rnacentral:rRNA from 1 species